rnacentral:rRNA from 1 species
UCGGGAAACUGCCUGAUGGAGGGGGAUAACUACUGGAAACGGUAGCUAAUACCGCAUAACGUCGCAAGACCAAAGAGGGGGACCUUCGGGCCUCUUGCCAUCGGAUGUGCCCAGAUGGGAUUAGCUAGUAGGUGGGGUAAAGGCUCACCUAGGCGACGAUCCCUAGCUGGUCUGAGAGGAUGACCAGCCACACUGGAACUGAGACACGGUCCAG